AAUCGAUGUAGAAAAGUGAUUGGU
rnacentral:miRNA from 1 species